UUCCGGUUGAUCCUGCCGGACCCGACUGCUAUCAGAGUGAGAUUAAGCCAUGCGAGUUAACGUAGCAAUACGUGGCGCACGGCUCAGUAACACGUAGUCAACAUGCCCAGAGGACGUGGAUAACCUCGGGAAACUGAGUCUAAACCGCGAUAAGUGAGGAUUUCUGGAAUGGUUCCUGACUAAAAUCUAUAUGGCCUCUGGAUUGGACUGCGGCCGAUCAGGCUGUUGGUGAGGUAAUGGCCCACCAAACCUGUAACCGGUACGGGCUCUGAGAGGAGGAGCCCGGAGAUGGGCACUGAGACAAGGGCCCAGGCCCUAUGGGGCGCAGCAGGCGCGAAACCUCUGCAAUAGGCGAAAGCCUGACAGGGUUACUCUGAGUGACUUUCGCUAAGAAAGUCUUUUGGCACCUCUAAAAAGGGUGCAGAAUAAGGGGUGGGCAAGUCUGGUGUCAGCCGCCGCGGUAAUACCAGCACCCCGAGUGGUCGGGACGAUUAUUGGGCCUAAAGCAUCCGUAGCCGGUUCUGCAAGUCCCCCGUUAAAUCCAGCUGCUCAACAGAUGGGCCGCGGAGGAUACUACAGAGCUAGGAGGCAGGAGAGGCAAGCGGUACUCAGUGGGUAGGGGUAAAAUCCGUUGAUCCAUUGAAGACCACCAGUGGCGAAGGCGGCUUGCCAGAAUGCGCUCGACGGUGAGGGAUGAAAGCUGGGGAAGCAAACCGGAUUAGAUACCCGGGUAGUCCCAG
rnacentral:rRNA from 1 species